rnacentral:lncRNA from 1 species
CCAAAAGGUUGGAGGACCAAAAGGUUGGAGGACUCAAAGGCUGGAGGACCCAAAGGUUGGAGGACCAAAAGGUUGGAGGACCAAAAGGUUGGAGGACUCAAAGGCUGGAGGACCCAAAGGCUGGAGGAGCCAAAGGUUGGAGGACCCAAAGGCUGGAGGACUCAAAAGUUGGAGGACCCAAAAGUUGGAGGAGCCAAAGGCUGGAGGAGCCAAAGGUUGGAGGACCAAAAGGUUGGAGGACCAAAAGGUUGGAGGACCCAAAACUUGGAAGACCCAAAGGUUGGAGGACUCAAAGGUUGGAGGACUCAAAGGUUGGAGGACCCAAAGGUUGGAGGACUCAAAGGUUGGAGGACUCAAAGGCUGGAGGACCCAAAGGUUGGAGGACCAAAAGGUUGGAGGACCCAAAGGCUGGAGGACCCAAAACUUGGAGGACCCAAAGGCUGGAGGACCCAAAACUUGGAGGACCCAAAGGCUGGAGGACUCAAAACUUGGAGGACCAAAAGGUUGGAGGACCAAAAGGUUGGAGGACCCAAAAGGUUGGAGGACUCAAAGGUUGGAGGACUCAAAGGUUGGAGGACCCAAAGGCUGGAGGACCAAAAGGCUGGAGGACUCAAAGGCUGGAGGACUCAAAAGGUUGGAGGACCCAAAGGUUGGAGGACCAAAAGGUUGGAGGACUCAAAAGUUGUAGGGUUGAAAAAGGGGAUUUUGGUGGAGAAAAAAGGGGAUUUUUGGGGUGAAAAACGGGGAUUUGGGGGCUCAGAAAACAUGGAAACCUCAAUUCUACAACAAGGGAAGAAACUCAACAGUGGAGCCCAAAAAACCCCAAAAAUGGGGACCCAAAAAACCCCAAAAGCAAAGGAAGCUUUAAGGGUAGAAAAUGGGGAUUUUGGUGGAGGAAAAAAAGGGGAUUUUUGGGGUGAGAAGCGGGGAUUUUGGGUCCAUACCUGCCAUGCAUCCGGGGAAACGUUCCUGCACAGCUGCCUGGAAGGAAGUGGGGCUCAUCCAGUUCCCCAAUUGGGGGGGACCCCCGGAUGGGGGGGGUGGGGGGACGGCGUCCCUCUGGUUUGGGGUCACCAAAACUGUCCUGCUUUCAACACGAGCCACGUCCCGAGGGU